GUCUAAGGCCCUUCCACCUUGAAUGUGCCCAAUCCUGUCUGAUCUUAGAAGCCUAGCAGGAUUGGGCCUGGUUAGUAAUUGGAUGGGAGGAAUGCGACAUAUAUUCCCUUGGUUCCAAUCCUGCCAUUCCUACAGA
ensembl:rRNA 5S_rRNA 5S ribosomal RNA